rnacentral:lncRNA from 1 species
UGGGAUUUCAUGGACCUAUCACUUUUUAAAAGUUAGGUCUGCUCACUCUGUGUCAUCAAGGACAGACCCAAUGGCCCUAAUACGAACCCACUGCCAUUUGUUAUCUCCAAGCAGCAGAGCUCUCAGCAUCAAGGACUUUCUAAGAAAGGACCAUGGCGAUGGCUUUGUGACCUGCCUGAAGCACUUAAUGUCUGCUGGCUGAGGGAUCAUGCUGUGUCUGACCACGGAUAACUGGCUGAUUCCUCCUCCUGGCAUUCAGGGUUGUACCCCUGUGUUCUGAGCUGAGGGCUGGAGAGAGAAAUAAUGAACUCACCAAGCUCUACUGACUGCCUGCUGCUGGCCGCACAUCACAGCCCUUGGAUAGCACCAUGGCCUGACUUUAUGUAGAGCCGCUGACAUCCCUAAGGCACUCAGGGCAAGACUGAAACCAGGGCCUCAGCUCUCAAGUUGCAGGUGAGGUCAGCCUCAGGAUACCUCCACCACUGACCAGCUGCCGAACCUCUCUGGGCCGCAAUGUCCUCCUCUGAAAAUGAAAAUCAUGGUGUUACCAACCUCACGGGACCGACCUGAGGAUGAAGGAGCUGGCCACAGAGGCGCUUCCAGGACUGACUGGUGCCCAGAAGACUCCAGGACAACAGCUGCUGGGAUCACUGCGUGGGGCAGUGAGACAUCGGGGCUCCAUGAUUGCCCCGCUGCAUGAUUGCCCCGUCCCAGGUUGUUGCCCACAAAG